UUUUAAAGUGUUUGAUUGUCACAGACAUCAGAUUGGUUCAGUGAAAUGUGUUGUUUUACAGGGUCAGUCAUAGUAGUAUGAUAGGUGUUGUUUUACAGGGUCAGUCAUAGUAGUAUGAUAGGUGUUGUUUUACAGGGUCAGUCAUAGUAGUAUGAUAGGUGUUGUUUUACAGGGUCAGUCAUAGUAGUAUGAUAGGUGUUGUUUUACAGGGUCAGUCAUAGUAGUAUGAUAGGUGUUGUUUUACAGGGUCAGUCAUAGUAGUAUGACAGGUGUUGUUUUACAGGGUCAUAGUAGUAUGAUAGGUGUUGUUGUACAGGGUCAGUCAUAGUAGUAUGAUAGGUGUUGUUUUACAGGGUCAGUCA